UAACCACUGAGCAGCAGGAUGCAGAAGCUGAGACACACCAGGCAGAGAGAUGAUCUUUUUCUCUCAUGGAAGUAGAGGCAAUGCUCCACUCAGGAGUCUCACGAGGGCAGAUCUGAUACAGCAGACUAUCACAUCUCUUGUUCUGAACACUGUGUCUCUAUUAAUAGGACCAAGCACAGAUCCCUGAGACACUUCACCAGAGACCUUCAAAGUUGACCUGGAACCAUGAAUAACAACACUUUUGG